CCGCGUGGGGGAGUGACGGGUUUCGGCUUGUAAACCCCUGUUGCCCGGGACGAAACGCUUCUUUCGAGGAGCUUGACGGUACCGGGUGAGGAAGCACCGGCUAACUCCGUGC
rnacentral:rRNA from 1 species